rnacentral:rRNA from 1 species
UAGGGAAUAUUGGACAAUGGGCGAAAGCCUGAUCCAGCAACGCCGCGUGCGCGAUGACGGCCUUCGGGUUGUAAAGCGCUUUUAGGAGAGAUGAGAAAGGACAGUAUCUCCAGAAUAAGCCUCGGCGAACUACGUGCCAGCAGCCGCGGUAAAACGUAGGAGGCAAGCGUUAUCCGGAUUUAUUGGGCGUAAAGCGUGUGCAGGCGGUUUGGCAAGUUGGAUGUGAAAGCUCCCGGCUUAACUGGGAGAGGUCGUUCAAAACUGCCAGACUAGAGAAUGGAAGAGGGAGGUGGAAUUCCGGGUGUAGUGGUGAAAUGCGUAGAUAUCCGGAGGAACACCAGUGGCGAAAGCGGCCUCCUAGGCCAUUUCUGACGCUAAGACACGAAAGCUAGGGUAGCAAACGG